GCUCCUCCCCCUCAAACCGAGGCUGAAGUCACUACUGAGGAGGUGCAAAGAGAGGACGGCUUGUUAAAGCGGUUCCCAAACCGUGGCCCAGGGACCUCCAGGCGUCCAUUUGCAACCUCCAGUGCUGGGAAAUGAAGCCAAUGCAGAAGUGCUAGAAAAUGUAAUUCCUCAAGCGGCCACUGGAGACAGGCUGCAGAAGUGGCAGGAUGGUUUCUUAGAGCACCUUAGGCGUCAUUUGGCCUGCCUCAGAUCCGCCGAUGAACCACGUCUUUGCCAAUAUUUAGAUUAACUGAGAGGCGGAAGAAGCAGUACAUCCAACAUGAAGGGGUCCAGCAUAUUUUCGGCUUCAAAACAGCACUUCGGUAACUUUACCUGGCAUUGGUUUUAACCCCCUUUUUGGCAGGACUAAAUGGUAAGACAGUGGCUUUGUAUUUUCUUACUCUAAAAUCAAAAAUGAAUUAAUUCUGCUAACAAGUGUUGCCCGUGUAGUUUAAGUCUGAUUUUUAUUCCCCUCGUGCCACAGAGCCACACUGAUUAAUGGACUUGGACUUUUUUAAAGAUAUUUUUUGGCCUUUUCAAGCUUUAUUUUAUAAAAGGGA